AUGAAGAUCUGCAAAGAAAAUAUAUCUAUUCCCUUUGACAACAGAGGAAAAUGCCUAGCACCAUCUGGGCCUACUGUGCACAGGGACCAGAGAGAAGGCCGAGCAGGCCUGACUGGUUGUUGCCCUCACAGAGAGCUGAAACCCAGCUCUGAGGAGCAACUUCAGGCCCAAGACGAGAGGCUCCAAGUGACCUGCCUCAUGGACUCAGAACACAUGCCCACAGAAACAGCUGAAGACCAGUAG